rnacentral:tRNA from 1 species
GCCCCGGUACUCCAACGGCAGAGAGACGGUGYUCAAACCACCGACAGUGUGGGUUCGAAUCCCACCCGGGGUACCA